GAGGCCUGGACAAGUGCUCCAGCCUCACGACCCUCGAUCUCUCACAGAACGAGCUCAGCGGCAGCAUUCCACCCAACGUUUGCAGCAUUCUUCCAUACCUGGUGGCCUUCGACAUCCACGAGAAUUCCUUCUCGGGAUCCAUCGAUACCUCCUUCAACAAUUGCACCUAUCUCAACAAUCUCGACUUGAGCCAGAACAGAUUCUCGGGACCCAUUCCCGGACAGAUUGGAGUUCUUCCGCGGCUAACCAAGUUUGACGUCUCCAACAACCAGUUCUCGGGGCCAAUUCCAUCAUCUUUAACCACGUUUGACUCUAGCGUCUUCGCCAGCAAUCCAGUACUGUGCGGUCAGCCUCUACGUAACGAAUGCCCACGCAGGAGCUGGCAAUCCGAGGUGCUGGAGGCUAUCCGAGGGUCCUCUCCAAUUCUCAUAUUCUCCAGUUUGUCUAGCUUCUUGAUCGUCUUGAGCUUGAUUCUGGCCAUAUGAUAGUCAAGAAGAACCUGAUUAUGAAAAUGUCUCUCUUUGUUUGAAAAUAGUCUUUGUUUAAAAAUUUGAAUUCCAAUCAACGAUCCAUAAUUAAAGUCCCCAGUCUCACAGUCAAGAAAAGUCAACACAACACCACCAGGGAGGAUCAUGGCGGAAAGACCACGGCGCUCCCGCCUUUUUGACCAGACAGAGUUUUCCAAAGACUUUGCUACGUGAGAUCCACGCCGUUGAAAAUUGCGCAACACCUGCCGUGGAUUCCUAGCCUUGACCGAAGAACGCAAUCUAGGCCGUCCGUGCGCAUUUUUCAUGGAAUUGGCUAUGGCGGCCCCAGAGCACACGCUAGGAUAAUGCAAAGGGAGAGAAGGCGGCAGGGCUAGGGCUUUAGGGAGAGGCGAGCGGGAUAGGAUUGCGAGCUGCUGCGGUCCCGCUAGAAAUCAAGGUGUGUCGAGCGCCUCGAAAUAUCGGUCGAGCUCCUGGAAUCUCGCGGCGAUGGAGGCGGCCAGGGCCGGAUUAUCGAGCAUUCUCGUCAUCGCGCUGCUUCUCGAGGUAAUUUCUUGCCAGAGCGACGUCGAGUGCCUCAGGGAGUUCAAGAGCUCGUUCAGGGAUCCCAUGCGCUUCCUCGACUCGUGGGUCUUCCCGCCGACGUCUAACAUCUGCAACUUCGCCGGGAUCACUUGCCUCCACCCGAACGAUUCCAGAGUGUAUGGCAUCUCUCUUCCAGGAUCCGGGUUCACGGGGGAAUUUCCUCGAGGCCUGGACAAGUGCUCCAGCCUCACGACCCUCGAUCUCUCACAGAACGAGCUCAGCGGCAGCAUUCCAGCCAACGUUUGCAGCAUUCUUCCAUACCUGGUGGCCUUCGACAUCCACGAGAAUUCCUUCUCGGGAUCCAUCGAUACCUCCUUCAACAAUUGCACCUAUCUCAACAAUCUCGACUUGAGCCAGAACAGAUUCUCGGGACCCAUUCCCGGACAGAUUGGAGUUCUUCCGCGGCUAACCAAGUUUGACGUCUCCAAC
rnacentral:lncRNA from 1 species